GUUGGUGCACCUCUAGGAAAGAACAAGCAACCCAAUACGACCAGAUCAGGAGCAUUGUAUAAAUGCCCCUUGACCACACUAAGUUACGAUUGCGAACAAGUUAUUACUGAUGGAAGACGAUUGGCAAAUGGACUCUAUAGCAAAUCAAUCAACGAUGACACAUUAUAUCCACCUGGAAACGACGAGCUAAAAGAAGAUCAGUGGCUCGGGGUGAGUGUCAGCUCCUCUAGCAAUGACACGAAAGGUGGCCACAUUGUCGUGUGUGCCCACAGAUAUGCUUUGAGGCCAAAUCCGGAUUCAAUAUGGGGCCAAGGUCUCUGUUAUACCCUAAUG